UACGGAGGAUGCGAGCGUUAUCCGGAUUUAUUGGGUUUAAAGGGUGCGUAGGCGGGAUGCCAAGUCAGCGGUCAAAUACGGGGGCUCAACCUGCGUCCGCCGUUGAAACUGGCGUUCUUGAGUGGGCGAGAAGUACGCGGAAUGCGUGGUGUAGCGGUGAAAUGCAUAGAUAUUAGGAGGAACACCAGUGGCGAAGGCGGCUUACUGGACGAUGACUGACGCUGAGGCUCGAAAGCGUGGGGAGCAAACAGG
rnacentral:rRNA from 1 species